UAACGCGUUAAGUCGACCGCCUGGGGAGUACGGCCGCAAGGUUAAAACUCAAAUGAAUUGACGGGGGCCCGCACAAGCGGUGGAGCAUGUGGUUUAAUUCGAUGCAACGCGAAGAACCUUACCUGGUCUUGACAUCCACGGAAGUUUUCAGAGAUGAGAAUGUGCCUUCGGGAACCGUGAGACAGGUGCUGCAUGGCUGUCGUCAGCUCGUGUUGUGAAAUGUUGGGUUAAGUCCCGCAACGAGCGCAACCCUUAUCCUUUGUUGCCAGCGGUCCGGCCGGGAACUCAAAGGAGACUGCCAGUGAUAAACUGGAGGAAGGUGGGGAUGACGUCAAGUCAUCAUGGCCCUUACGACCAGGGCUACACACGUGCUACAAUGGCGCAUACAAAGAGAAGCGACCUCGCGAGAGCAAGCGGACCUCAUAAAGUGCGUCGUAGUCCGGAUUGGAGUCUGCAACUCGACUCCAUGAAGUCGGAAUCGCUAGUAAUCGUGGAUCAGAAUGCCACGGUGAAUACGUUCCCGGGCCUUGUACACACCGCCCGUCACACCAUGGGAGUGGGUUGCAAAAGAAGUAGGUAGCUUAACCUUCGGGAGGGCGCUUACCACUUUGUGAUUCAUGACUGGGGU
rnacentral:rRNA from 1 species